rnacentral:rRNA from 1 species
UCCGUAGGUGAACCUGCGGAGGGAUCAUUACACAAAUAUGAAGGCGGGCUGGAACCUCUCGGGGUUACAGCCUUGCUGAAUUAUUCACCCUUGUCUUUUGCGUACUUCUUGUUUCCUUGGUGGGUUCGCCCACCACUAGGACAAACAUAAACCUUUUGUAAUUGCAAUCAGCGUCAGUAACAAAUUAAUAAUUACAACUUUCAACAACGGAUCUCUUGGUUCUGGCAUCGAUGAUGAACGCAGCGAAAUGCGAUAAGUAGUGUGAAUUGCAGAAUUCAGUGAAUCAUCGAAUCUUUGAACGCACAUUGCGCCCUUUGGUAUUCCAAAGGGCAUGCCUGUUCGAGCGUCAUUUGUACCCUCAAGCUUUGCUUGGUGUUGGGCGUCUUGUCUCUAGCUUUGCUGGAGACUCGCCUUAAAGUAAUUGGCAGCCGGCCUACUGGUUUCGGAGCGCAGCACAAGUCGCACUCUCUAUCAGCAAAGGUCUAGCAUCCAUUAAGCCUUUUUUUCAACUUUUGACCUCGGAUCAGGUAGGGAUACCCGCUGAACUUAAGCAUAUCAAUAAGCGGAGGAA